CUGGGACACGCCUGUGGCCUUGCCAGGGUGGGCGGGACACGGCCUCUUUCCUUCCUUCCCAUCCAGCGCCGGUGAGGCUCAGCACUCACUGUCUCACUGGCAGCACAGACAAAGCCUGGAGGGCUCCACGGGAUAAUUAAUGGCGAGGACGCCCCCAGGGACCUCCGGAAAGAGACACCAUUGGUUGCAGGCCUCCAGGUUCUCGUCUGCCUGAGAGGAUGAGCUACAUCCGUGCAGAGCCUGGCACUCCGGAUGCUGGCGGAAUUGAUUCAGUAGCAUGAGCAGGAAGGUCCAUUUGAAGAGAUCACUCCAAAACAGCGGUUCGCAACAAGAAUGGUUCAUGCAGGACAGAAAAAGGAGAGACAAAGGACUGUCAGGAGAGUGACUGGUCCAAAUGAGGACUCAGGAACCCCCGGUGGACCCAGAGAGAAAAACACUCUGGGUAGGAAGGGCAUGGGAAGUGAUCACUAUGCACUUGUGCUGGAGCAAAAUGACACCAGGGGAGGUUGAUCAGCACCCUCUGGGUUCAUUCUUUUUAUAAGGAAGACUUCUGGUCUCUUACUCUGUUCCUUGAAUGGAUUUACAUCCCAGAAAGAUGUGUGCUCUGUGCAAAUGAAGGGGUACUCUUCCACUGUAAAGAAUGCAUUGGCUUUCUGGACUGGGGGGCUGGCUGGUACAAGCGUUUCCCAGGAGAGAGAAGUUUCUGAAAGGAUUUUUGGAGUUGCAGAGUCAAGGACCAGGCUGGGAGUCUUGGUGACCCCACCAAGCACAGAGGAUGCCAGGCGCCUGAUUGGAGAAGGCUGUGGGAGUCUUCUAGAACAAUCGUGCUAACUGCACACACCAUCUGCAUGAACCAAUACCAGGUCAAGAAAGGCACAAAAAGGACCAACAAAUAAUACUGACAUGGUGCUUUGGAUCCAGGAGGCCUUGCGG